rnacentral:rRNA from 1 species
CGAAAGCCUGACGGAGCAAGACCGCGUGAGGGAGGAAGGCUCUUGGGUUGUAAACCUCUUUUCUCAGGGAAGAAGCUCUGACGGCACCUGAGGAAUCAGCCUCGGCUAACUCCGUGCCAGCAGCCGCGGUAAUACGGAGGAGGCAAGCGUUAUCCGGAAUUAUUGGGCGUAAAGCGUCCGCAGGUGGCGAUUCAAGUCUGCUGUCAAAGCACGGGGCUUAACUCCGUAAAGGCAGUGGAAACUGAAUAGCUAGAGUGCCGUAGGGGUAGAGGGAAUUCCCGGUGUAGCGGUGAAAUGCGUAGAGAUCGGGAAGAACAACGGUGGCGAAAGCACUCUACUGGGUCAUUACUGACACUAAGAGACGAAAGCUAGGGGAGCA